GAUCAUGGCUCAGAACGAGCGCUGGCGGCAGGCUUAACACAUGCAAGUUGAACGAGAGUGUUAGAUAGCUUGCUAUUUAGCAUGAAAGUAGCGCACUGGUGAGUAACACGUGGGAACGUACCUAUAGGUGGGGGAUAACGUUUGGAAACGAACGCUAAUACCGCAUACGCCCUGAGGGGGGAAAGAUUUAUUGCCGAUAGAUCGGCCCGCGGAAGAUUAGGUAGUUGGUGGGGUAAAGGCCUACCAAGCCGACG
rnacentral:rRNA from 1 species